rnacentral:rRNA from 1 species
UACAGAGGGGGCAAGCGUUGUUCGGAAUUACUGGGCGUAAAGGGCUCGUAGGCGGCCAACUAAGUCGGAUGUGAAAUCCCCAGGCUUAACCUGGGAACUGCAUCCGAUACUGGAUGGCUUGAAUCCGGGAGAGGGAUGCGGAAUUCCAGGUGUAGCGGUGAAAUGCGUAGAUAUCUGGAGGAACACCGGUGGCGAAGGCGGCAUCCUGGACCAUUACUGACACUGAAAAGCGAAAGCCAGGGGAGCAAACGGG